rnacentral:rRNA from 1 species
CCUACGGGAGGCAGCAGUAAGGAAUAUUGGUCAAUGGAGGCAACUCUGAACCAGCCAUGCCGCGUGCAGGAAGACAGCCCUAUGGGUCGUAAACUGCUUUUAUACGGGAAUAAACUUUGAUUCGUGAAUCAAGCUGAAUGUACCGUAAGAAUAAGGAUCGGCUAACUCCGUGCCAGCAGCCGCGGUAAUACGGAGGAUCCAAGCGUUAUCCGGAUUUAUUGGGUUUAAAGGGAGCGUAGGCGGCCUAUUAAGUCAGGGGUGAAAGACGGUGGCUCAACCAUCGCAGUGCCUUUGAUACUGAUGGGCUUGAAUAUAGUUGAGGUAGGCGGAAUGUGACAAGUAGCGGUGAAAUGCAUAGAUAUGUCACAGAACACCGAUUGCGAAGGCAGCUUACUAAGCUAUGAUUGACGCUGAGGCUCGAAAGCGUGGGGAUCAAACAGGAUUAGAUACCCUGGUAGUCCACGCCCUAAACGAUGAUAACUCGAUGUUGGCGAUAUACAGUCAGCGUCCAAGCGAAAGCGUUAAGUUAUCCACCUGGGGAGUACGCCCGCAGGGUGAACGUUACGAAGUAGUGACGAGNGAGNGNGCGACGACGACGAGAGGNG